UACGUAGGGGGCGAGCGUUGUCCGGAAUCAUUGGGCGUAAAGCGCGUGUAGGCGGCCCGGUAAGUCCGCUGUGAAAGUCCAGGGCUCAACCCUGGGAUGCCGGUGGAUACUGUCGGGCUCGAGUCCGGAAGAGGCGAGUGGAAUUCCUGGUGUAGUGGUGAAAUGCGCAGAUAUCAGGAGGAACACCAAUGGCGAAGGCAGCUCGCUGGGACGUGACUGACGCUGAGACGCGAAAGCGUGGGGAGCAAACAGG
rnacentral:rRNA from 1 species